AUGCUAAUCAGCAUUCAGUUCCAGAUUCCAAUUUAUUCUCAGUGUGCCUGUAUAACUUUUCUUUCCAUAUAUAUAGAAUUAAAUUUCUAUUACUUAUUUGAAUGUUAUAGAAUACUGUUCAUACAUUUAAAAUAAAACCACCAGGUAUAAUGAUUUCUGGCUUAGUAUAAAAAAGCUUUUACCCAGUUAGUGUUAUUUACACAGGUGGAUGUGGCUCCACAACAUUUAGAGAAGAAGAAUAAAUUAAGCUGUCAUAUGUUGCCAUGACUCAGCCUAUGAAGAGGUUAUGAAAAAAUCCAAAUUUCAGCAAAAGUAUAUGGUUGUUUUCAGUACCUCUGGAGGUGGUAUAUCAAGAAUUCUCAUGCUACUGUUUGAGAAAACAGAUUCCGUUGUUACCUAGAAAAUCAACUGCAAGGCAUUUUAAUAACCUUACCCCAUGUAAAAAAAAAAUACAUUGAAAUGUACUAAUAAAUGCAGACUACAUUACUUGAAAAAUGGUAAUACAGAAUACCACUUUUAAUAUUUGAGAAUAUGAAUUUUUGGUAGAAAUAAUGUAAAAUAAAGCUUCUGGUAAGCCUUGGGCAGUUAAAUUUACAUCAGUGUAAAGUAGGAUGAAAAUCUGUAAAAAAUAAAAAUAAAAAACACACAAAAACCUACACCAAAAAAACCCUAACAUCCACCAAUGCAUACAUAUUGAUCUUUGUGCUGGGAAAAUCUAAAGCAGA
rnacentral:lncRNA from 1 species